rnacentral:rRNA from 1 species
UACGAAGGGGGCUAGCGUUGCUCGGAAUCACUGGGCGUAAAGGGCGCGCAGGCGGGUUUUUAAGUCAGGGGUGAAAUCCUGGAGCUCAACUCCAGAACUGCCUUUGAUACUGAAGAUCUUGAGUCCGGGAGAGGUGAGUGGAACUGCGAGUGUAGAGGUGAAAUUCGUAGAUAUUCGCAAGAACACCAGUGGCGAAGGCGGCUCACUGGCCCGGUACUGACGCUGAGGCACGAAAGCGUGGGGAGCAAACAGG